rnacentral:lncRNA from 1 species
UUUCUUUUUUCUCUCCUCUUUAGUCUCUCCCCUCUUCUCUCCAGAUUCUCUCUCUCCCCAUAUCUCGAGUAAACAGAGGGGUAAGAUAACAUUAUCCUUGAGAGAUCAAAGACAGUUGCUACUUUUUAAAUGUUAACAAGGGGCCCCAAAUUCAAGCUCGGUUAUUCGCGUGUUUCUCGUAACUACGAAAGGUGUUACUCUUGCUAUUCGUUUGUCGGCAUCAUUUCCAUUCUUUUCUUUAAAAUAUACGGACAAUAUGAAGGUUGUGUUUAAGGAAGUCUACGUCAGUUUCAAUACAUAAUCUUCAUAGGAAUUAAAAGAGAUAUCUUAUGUCUUUGUCAUUGUUGCUUGCUAUUACUUUUCCCAUAUUUUAAUGAAUAAUAACAAAUUUCCCAACUAAAGCUGCUACUCUAACAAACUUUGCUCAAAAUCCUCUUUCUUACUAUUCUUUUUUAUCUUAUUUAUAUACUCUGUAAAGUGUCAAUAGAUCAGCUAACCUCAUGUACUAGUAAAAGGUAAUCACUGAAUUGAAUGAUAAUGUAUUGAAAAUUCUUUCCAACUAUCCUGCCCUUCACCAAGAACAAACCUAUUGCAGAAAAUUCAAGUACUAUUUUAAGAUAAGCCGUUUUACCCUUAAAUCUUGUCCUUUAAUUAACAAAGAUGAAUAUUACGAAUUGUUGUUCCAACCGGCAACUACCAUGCCCUAAGUUCUUCAAAGGAAUAAAAUCUAUUGGAGAAUGCUCAAGGAAAAUUCAAAGUUACCGUUACACCAUCUUCUCUUAUAAUUAAAUUCUUGCAUUUCCUUUGCUAUCUAUUCAUAUGGAUAGGAUAUUAGUUGUCAAUAUGUUAAUUUCAAUAUCGAAAAAACUGUGAUCAAUUCGAAGUUAAGUUACGACGCAUUACUUUCAUCCAUUACAGGGCAUCUAUCAGUUGAUACACAAUUACAACUGUGACGACCCGGCCGAUCAUCUUAAGAAUUAACGCCUCGAUCUCCUAUUAAAUGCUUCACCCAAGUUUAUUUCUUCUACUUUGGUUUCCCGGGCCAUUCGGUUUUGAGUUUCGGAGAAUUUUAGGACACUUAGUAUGAGAGCUUAAGUGUUGGAAAGUAGUUCGUAGUUGGAACAGUAUGAAGACGGUCUCGAAAUAGAAAUAUGAUGGUUCUGAUAGCUCCCUUGGGUGAUUUUGGGGUUGGGGGCAUAUUCGGAUUAUGUAUUCGAGGUCCAUAGCUAAUUUAGGCUUGAAAUGCCAAAGUUUGAAUUUUGGAAGUUUCCAGUUCGAUAGUGAGAUUUUGAUCCGAGGGUCGGAAUGAAAUUCCAGAAGAUGCAGUAGUUUCUUCAUGUCAUUUCGGAGGUGUGUGAAAAAUUAUAGGUCAUUCGGACGAGGUUUGAUAAUCUUUUAGAUCGAAAAUGUGUUUUUAGAGUUUUUGAAAUUCUUAAGGUCGAAUUCAAUAAAAGUAGAUUUUUUGAUGUUGUUUAUGGUGUUACAGUGUUGGAAAAAAGUUUGAAUAAUGCUAUGGGACAUGUUCGUAGGUUUGGUUGAGGUCCCCGGGGACUCUUGUGUGUUUCAGAUGCUCAACAGGUCAUUUUUAGAAAUUAGAAAAUUGCAGAAAAACUGUCAGCUGAUAUCCUUCUUCACGUUCGCGUCUUCUCCUCCGCGUUCGCGAAGAGUAAUCUUGGAGGAGGCCCUAUUGUUCUUCGCGUUCGCGUUAAGCCUUCCGCAUUCACGAAGGUUUGCCUUUUUCCUUCUUCGCGUUCGCAUCCAACUCCUCUCAUUCGUGUAGUAUAAUUUGGCGCUAAGGGGUUGUGGCUAUUUACUUUUUCACGCUCACGUCACAGCCUCCGCUUUUGCGUAAGCCCUCCCCUUUUAAUCUCUGCAUUUGCGUCCCAUAUCCCGCGUUCGCGAUGGCCUUUUUCUUGGCAGUUUCAAUUCUUUCUUCGCGAAUGAUGGUCCUUCCGCAUUUGCGAUGCACAAAUCACCUGGGCAGAUAUAAGAUUUCAAAAUCGAGGGUUAAGCUAUUUUUAUCCAAACGUAAGCUUGAGAGCUCGGAUUGGAGCGACAUUUAGAGGGAUUUUUAGUUAUAUCGAUUGGGUAAGGAUUCUAAACUCCUUUUUGCUUGUAACCCACUAAUAUAAGCAUGAACUCCUCCUUUAAUUUCGGAUUUUGAAUGAAAAUUUGAUAAAACUUCAUAGACCGAAUUAUUGAGUUUUGAUUAGGUUUCUGACAUUCGAUUUGAGAGAUUUUUAUAUGGUUAGACUCGUGUGAGUGUGAGGAUUCUGAAAAUAUAAAUUUCACUCGAUUCCGAGAUGUUGGCCUGAGGGGCAUUUUGGUUAUUGCAUCUUAGCUUUGAAUUAAAUCAUAGAAUCAAUUGCUUGAUAUGUUACUUACAUUAUGUAAUUGAAUUGAAUAGAUUUGGGCCAUUUGGAGUCGUAUACUCAUGGCAAAAGCGUGGUUUCUAGUUAAUUUGAGUCGGUUCGAGGUUAGUGGCUUGUCUAACCUUGUGUGGGGGACCUUCCCCUUAGGAUUUGUACAUUUGGUAAUUGAAUUGCCUUGUGCGUGAGGUGACGAGCGCGUACUUGUACAAAUUGUAGGAAAUCUAGUUCUUCUUAAAGUAUUUAUUAGCAUGUUUCCUUUCCUGCUAUAUUAUACUUGUAAAUUUAGAUGUUGUUAGCUAGAAGAGCAUGUUAAGUUUACUUAAAUUGCCUUGAUUGCACUAUGUGAAGCAUGUUAGGCUAGAAUUACUUGUUUCCAUAAUUAUAAAUUUCAUUUCUAAAUAUCUUCUUGUUGUUGUUGCGUAUUUACAUUGGGACUACGGAUGUGGGAUUCUGGUAGCUCCCAUUUGUUUGUUUACUUUGCGACUACGGGUUAGAUUUCCGGUAGAUCCCCCUGCACAGUUAUAUGGAACUACGGGAAUGCAUCUCGUAGAUUCCCCCAGUACUGGGUAUUUAUAUUUGGGACUACGGAUCGGGGUUUUGGUAGAUCCUCGCGCAUUGAUAAUUGUACUACGGGACGGUAUCCCAGGAGAUCCAUUGGACAGUUGAUGAAAGGGACUACAGGACGGUAUCCUAGGAGAUCUCUUUGUUUCCAUUGGUAUUGAACUUGUUCUUAUUUCCUUCUUUACUCCGUUCUUGUAUAUUUGUUGUUGUCUUGUAUAACCUGUCUUAUUUCACUGUUGUACUCCUUUACAUUGUCUAUUUCAUACUGUAAAAACUUUAUGUUAUGUUUAACCUAAGUAGGGCCCUGACCUUCCUCGUCACUACCCGACCGAGGUUAGGCUUGGCACUUACUGAGUAACGCUAUGGUGUACUCAUGCCUUUUCUUUGCAUGCUUUUCAUGUGCAGAUCUAGGUACCUCUGCAUAGGCUUACCAUCCUUGAGGUAGGGAGCAUUUUGGAGACUUCGAGAUGCAUCUUCCGCGUCCGCAGAUCGAAGAGUCUCCUUCUUUACUCUAUCUUGUAGUGUUAGAAUUCAUUCGUUCUAUUGAUCUAGACAUUUUUAGAGAUUAGAGCAAUUUAUUGUAUUCCUUCUAGCUUGUAUUCCUGUGAGUUUCCGGGUUUUGGGAUAAUAUUGUAGGUUUCAGUGAUGUUGAGUUGUACAUGCCGAGCGGCAUCUUAUAUACUGUUUUUCUUCAAGUUGUUCAGUUUGAUUAUUAUUUUUGCAAGUUAGUUAUUUUCCGUAUUGUUGGGCUUACCUAGAGACUAGGUGUCGUCGUGACUG